rnacentral:rRNA from 1 species
UAAACCAGGAUUAGAUACCCUAUUAUAUUUAAACAAAUUGGGUAGUAUUAUUAAUAAAAACCUUUAUACUUUGGCGGCAUUUUAUCUUAUUAGAGGAAUAUGUUCAUUAAUCGAAACCACACGAUAGUUUUUACUUACUAUAAAAUUUUAUAUACCCCCGUCUAAAGAAUUUAUUUAAAAUUUUUAUUCCAAAUUAUAUUAAAAAAAGUUAGGUAAAGGUGUAGACUAUUAGUAAGAUUAAAUGUAUUACAUUAAAAAAAAAUUUAAGGAUAAAACAGUUAACUGUUUAUUAAAAGAGGAUUUAUAAGUAAUUUACUUUUAAUAAAAAUUAAUGAAUAAGAAAAUAAAUGUGCACAUAUCGCCCGUCAC